rnacentral:misc_RNA from 1 species
GAUGUGCGCAAGCACUUAUCCUUCAUACACCUGUGCACCAUGGUCUUCGGACCUUUACAAACAUUGUAGUCAUGAGCGUCUUUAUUAUAACAAAAUAAAACUUUCAACAACGGAUCUCUUGGCUCU